GGUCAAUGGCCUAACGGCUGAACUGGCAACUUGGAGAAGUGGCAAGUCUUCCAGUAUGGGGAGCAAAACAGCUAUGGGUCAAGUCCGAUAUCUUUAGGAGAAGUCUUAUUGUGAGGGCGAGUUAUAUAACACCAUAGGACUGGCCGUCCCAUAUGAAAAGAUUAUAUUAGAAUUGAAUGAAGCUUUGUUUAUAUAUUGAUAAUGACAGUAUAUAUAUCGUGUCUUGACUAAUUGCGUGCCAGCAGUCGCGGUAAUACGUAAGAGACUAGUGUUAUUCAUCUUAAUUAGGUUUAAAGGGUACCCAGACGGUCAAUAUAGCUUAUAAAAUGUUAGUACUUGACUAGAGUUUUAUGUAAGAGGGCAGUACUUGAGGAGGAGAGAUGAAAUUUCGUGAUACCAAAGGGACUCUGUAAAGGCGAAGGCAGCCCUCUAUGUAAAAACUGACGUUGAAGGACGAAGGCACAGAGAACAAACAGGAUUAGAUACCCAAGUAGUCUUUGCAGUAAAUGAUGAAUGCCAUAGGUUAGAUUGGUCAAUUAUAGUCUAGGGUUAGUCUAGCAAACUAAUACCCUAUGCUAUAAUCCUAAUAUCUGGUCUAUAAAUGAAAGUGUAAGCAUUUCACCUCAAGAGUAAUGUGGCAACGCAGGAACUGAAAUCACUAGACCGUUUCUGACACCAGUAGUGAAGUAUGUUAUUU
rnacentral:rRNA from 1 species